rnacentral:snoRNA from 1 species
AGUCUUUUGUAGUUUGUAAGUGUGAUGGUUAGGUUUGAGAGGUGCCUCCCGCAAACCUUUGCAGACAUUGUCAUGGCACGUUACCUGCCUGAUG